AAAGAAACGAAGCUAAUAUAUUCUGUAGAACUCCUAAAAAUAUCAUAGAGAGAAAUUACUACAUGCUUUUUAAGGGAAAAACACAUAUCUAAAAAUAGUUUUCAUUCAAAUAAACCCGUUUCCCCAUUAAACAUCUUUGCUAUCCCAAAAGAUUGCUACUUUCCUUCCCUCCUUAAAUUAAAGUUGCUAAGGAACCUGAGGUAAGCUAUCAUCACACAGAUACUGCUCUCAUCCUAUCACUUACCAAUAAUUCAAGUCCUCCAGUAAUGCCAAAACACUUAUCAAUUUACAGAAACAGCUUAUUACCAGGAAUUGUAGAAGACAGCCAUCUUCUAUUAGCUGCCUUUAAAGGAAACAGAUUUUAAAAGGAUGGUUUGUAACUUUUCUAAGUAUUGAAACAUUCUUAGAUACCAAAAUACGAAUGUGAGGUCCUACCUCGGCAGAAGACUCUCGUCGAACUGACUUCACCACAAUUGCUUUGUUCUUUUCUUCUAUGUCAAAUCCAUAGUCAUCCUCUUCUGGUAAAAUCUUAAACAGAGCACAAUAUUUACACAUAUUUAUGCUUCAUAAAUACAGAGUUCACAGAAAAGGUGAAGACUGGAGAUGAGAAAUUAGACUUUUCAUUGCAAGCCACAAUCUGGACUUCUGUCUUAAGAUGGAAAGGGACUACCAGAUCAUUUGGUCUGAUUGCCUACAAAACAUGAGCCAUAAAAUUUAAUCUUAGUUGUUUCUGCAUUGAGCCCUUAAUAUAUAUUAAAGCAGAUUUUACAGAGUUACUCAGGUAUGAUCUGCAGUCUUUAAGAAGUGAAGAAUCUAUUCCCACCCUUGAGAGUUUUUUGCAGUGGUUCAUCAACUCUUCUUUUAGGAACUGGAUUUGACUUUUAACUCCUAGCCCUUCAUCCUUCAAUAGAUCUUUCACUUUUGUAUUACGGAAUUCGUCAUUAUUCAGUAUUUUCCACUGGUGAAUGUACUACAGAUUGAGUGCGGUCAUUUGUUUAUUUUUCAGAAUACAUCCCUACCUGAUAAUGAAGAUCUGAGUGCUUCUCAGCUACCAGUUUCACACAAAUUGCAGAUCUCAGGCCUACCUUUCAUAGAUCUAACUACACACUACAUAAUUCUACAGCAUAAUAGCAGUCUGAUGGCUGAAAUUCUAUCUAAUGAGAGGACAAUUCCUGGCAUCCGGUCUUCACAAGUCCCUUCACUCAAGCAACUGUUAAUUUAUGCAUGCAAAAGAAAGCAGCUCAUGACUUAAGCAUGACUACUACAGAUUUGACACAAAUCUGUGCCCUCUAAGUAGGAGAUUUUCCCUCAUCAUGUGCUCUUCAUUUGUUUUCUGUUUGAGACAGGACUGCAUUUUGACAAAGGGUGAGUGAUGCACUUCAGGACUACAACAGCAGCAUUCAUAUGGCUUAGAGAAUGAUGCCCUGAAAUAUCUGUGUUUUUAUCAGUCUUUUUAACUUGCAUCUAAAUUCAUCCCACAUAUAAGCAUGUUUGAAUUCAAACUGGGCUUACACUUGAUGGCAGAUCUCUUCCAAGAGAGUAGAGUACUUUUUCCUCCACCAUGUCCACACUGUGAUACCUGCUAAAACAUAUCCACCUCCCAGCUCCCUUACACUCUUGCAAGGGUUUCUUGGGAAUAGAAAGGGCUUGAGCCAUGCACUGGAAACAGGUGGGCACUUCCGUGCAUUUGCACCUGUGUGAACUGUGCAUCCAAAACUCCCAAUACAGCAGCAUGGUCACAAGCUCCAGAAAGGGGCCUCCAAUGUAAGGAUUUCCCGUGCUCCUAGAGUAAAUUAUGCAGUCUGCCUAACUGAAAAGUCAGAGGUACAGAAGUUAGAGGUAUACAGCAAAGCAGAUCAAGAAUUAGUAGCAUUUAUGCAGUGAAGAAAAACCUAGCUACACAUGCAACUGCCCAUUUUAAUUCUACUCUUUCAUUAUUCUGCUCUAUUAUAAAACAAUACCAUUUUAGCAGAAACAACAAGGUUUAUACAUUCACAUGUUUCUUACCAGAAGAUUCUUUCCCAGGAUAUUUUCCACGAGCUUGAAGUCAUUACGUAAUUGUUUGCUCUUGGAACUGGUACCCUCCAUCUCCUCAUCAGCAUAAAAGCGGAAAUAUAAGGAUUCAUCCUUAAAUUCACUUUUCUCCAGGACUGGAAAUUAUAAAUGAAAUACAUACAUUCAUUUACAUGGACCAAAAAAAGAGAGAAACAGCGAAGAAAGUUAAAGGAACCAGAGGAUCAAGGACCGGCACUGGGGAAAGACACCAUAUUAUCUCAAUGUGAAGACAUUUUAUUUGAAAUCAGAGUGUUGGACUUCAGGACCCAUUAGUCACAGACAAUAAAACUCCUCCUUUGAAGCUGAGAGAUCCCAUCCAUAUUCAGCUCAAGGGAGAAAAAGCUAAGUAUGUGAACUCUACAGGUCAGACAGGUUAAAACUACAGUGGCAGUUUGCUUACACAGCAGAUUACAAAGGCUUCUGUUUCUCACCACCUGAAGCCUUGAGUGUAGUCAUUCAAAACAGGUAUCAAAGGUGACUUGUAAAUUUACAGACUUCCCUGAAAUAGCAGCCUAAAGCUUUAUAUCUACAAGUCAGUUAAAUACCUAGAAAUGCCUAGUUUUCUCAAUAUAUCUGCUAAUUUGCAGCCACAAGUGAAGACUUUACAAACUUGGUUGCACUUUUUAGGCAGACAAGUAAGUUUUAAAUAGUGCUGCUAAAAAUCAGAAGGCACUACUAGUCUUACAAAGAUUGUCAACACUGGUCCCUUGAUGUGAGAUGAGCAAAGGGACACAGGGGAAGCUGGUGUCUGCUAUGUCAGUGAGAGCAGCUCCUCAGCUCAUUCCAGCAGGGAGGGCACCUGCUGCUUUGGCAACAGAAGCAAUUUCAGUGUAUUACUUUCAGUCCUAUUUAACAAGAAGCUGUGUCCUACACAAGUAUUACUUACACCUUUUCUCCCCUGCAUCUGAAGAACUAGAUACCCAAAAGCUCUCACAGCAGCCGUAGCAUAGUGUACCGACUUUGUUUUAAGCAAAAACAAAGUGCUUCAAGCACCCUCUGAUCUUGCCAGCAGAACAUUAGUCUAACUUCAAAUACCACCAAGGAGAGCAGUAGUUAUUUGCCAAGCAAAUGCUGGCAAAGCCCAUCACUGUGGUGUAUCAGCAUUAUUUAAAGACAGGAUCAGCUCUGGCCAAUCCACAGCAUACUAGCUUUUGUUAAAGAGGUUGAGAGCAGAACAGAAAAAACAUUUACAAAUUAAGAACUAAAUACUGUUAUCUUGGUAGAAAAGACAUCAAGGCAGUUCUGAAAGAAUUGCAUGACCAUGUCAUCACACAAGGAAAGCCAAGAAAACAGCUUUAAGAAACCAAAAGUUUAACUUUUAUUAUGAACUAAUUUCAAGUCUUCACAAGUCUUCUCUCAUUUUCAACAUCCUGUCAUGAGACUGUUCAACGCUCACAUUGUGUUAUUUUAUAGGAUAAAUGGGUAGUUUAUUUUAUAGAGACUGGGAUUUAAAAAUCCCAAUUUAUUCUUUCAGCUGUAAAUAAACUGGAGGAGAAAUACCUUCUAAUAUUACCAUCUUAAAACUUUAGCAGUCUAUGUUUGUCCUAGGCAACAAAAUCUUUGCACAGGAAGGGUCUAAACUAGAUUUGGCUACUCCUGAUGAUGUUAUCUUGGCAUCAAAACAUUCCCCUAGCAAAAGAGCAUUCUCUAAUUAGAAAAUAUAGCUUUAAUUCUUUCAGCUCACGAAGUACUGCUAAAUGUUAUGUAGGUAUUUCUCCAAAUACAAUAAGGGAAGUAAUGAAAAUCUUCAGAAAAUAGAGCCAUUUACAAUGACCAAUCUUGACAAAAUGCAUCUCAACCUUUUCACACAGAAACUAGAUGUGAAACUUGAUACACUAGUUUUGACAUGCUAACUUAGGUUUAUUCCAUACAGUCUCUCCAUUUGAGUCAUCAGAAUUACAGAAACAGUUUGCAGUCAGUACCAUAGUGAAGAAACAUGUCCAGAGCACAUUUCUAUUACUCUUAUUACUACUGCCACCAUUACAAUUAUUAUUGUUGCUGUCUAGUUUUGGUAAUGAUGUGAUGUCUAAAGCCCUAAUCAUGGUGGUUGGUUGCUUUGGGAUGUGUAAACCCAGCAAUUAAGAUGGUCUCAGACCAAGACUGUUUACAGCUCCCUGGGAGGAGGAAAGAAAGCAGAUACACACAGGUAAGAGCAGCAACCAAACCACUUUUAAAUUUUCCACUGAUAAAUUGUAAAAGGGAAGUUUUAGGAUUAUGAAGCGCUUCUUAGCAAAGAGAGUAUCUUAAAACUUUUCUUACCUGUGCAAUAAGCCAGUCCACUAGUUUACUUGCAGGGAUUACUGAUUUGUAUGUCUUUAGGUGGUAGUCACGGUCUCUAAUUAAGAAAGAAUUCAGGGAAAUUCAGGACCAAAAGGUAUACAUAUCUUUUACAUUCUAAACCUAUAUAUAUACUGUUGUGACUUACUACUAAUAAGCAGCCAUCUUUUCUCUGUAUAAAGUUUUAAACUUCUCUAGCAGCUUCAAUUAGGAAGAUACUUCAAAUCAACACAAAGCAGUGUUACUUAAAAUUUCUCUAGAUGUUGUUUCAAGCCAUCUUCAGGGAGCUCACAUUCCCACCAGAGGCAGCCAGAAGAUUCUUUUCACAGAUGUCCUAAGCUGCUGCUGUAACUCAGGUUAAAAUACUGCCACCAGCAGUCCCACUAAAAAUCACACUUUCUGGCUGGAAAUCAUCCAAAAUCUAUUGAUGUCCAGCUUACAUCUUUUGGCUCAGUAUGAGUACCAUCCAUAAGCUUCAAUAAUUCUUCUCUAGCAUUUAUCUAUUAAUGCAUUCAUAGACGGGGACUCUACACAUUCCCCCUGUGCCUCCUUUUAGUGAGGCUCAUGGAAUUAGGCAGCUUUUAGUCUAUUUUGUCAAGAGAGAUUUUCCACACUUGUUCAGAUUUCAUUUCCUUUAGCAGAAUAACACAUAAUAGCCAGACACAAAUAUAAUAUGCAGUAUUCCUUAAUGGAAUUAGAUAAUCUCAGUCAUUGUAAACAGGAAGGGUUGUGUUUAGUUGUUGUAACACAACUGGCACCAGCCCUUGCAGAGCACUGUUCCUGCAAGAAGGAAAAGGAACCAUACUGUAACUUGAUGCUUUUUGCAGUUUUCUUCAAUUCCUCUUCUUAGAGCCAUGGAGAUAAUUGAUGGCUUUAGCCUUCUGUGAAAUAUUUCUAAAGAAUUUUGAUACAGAUACAAGAGGCAUAUGUGGCUCAGGACAUUGGGCUCUAACACCUCUCACCUCCAAGGUCACUGGACUUAAUCCAGUUUGGAAGAUCAUAAAAGCAAUUUUAAGGCUUUUUACUGGCCCAUGUGAAAUAAGUUUCAUGGUCUUGAUCCAGUUCCUAGUUCCACAUCACAAAAGACACUACCACAAUUAAUUUGCAUUAAUUGGCUCCCUCUCAUUGAGAUUCUCAGCAGAGAGGCCAAAUCCUGAAUGGAUAUGAAGAAUUAAUUCCUCUCUCACCCUUGGGGUGGUCCUUGUGUUUGAAGCUUGAGCUCAACUGGCACAACUGUAGAAGGAAGCACAGCCACUGGGGCUGUUUUACAGUCUGGAUGGAUCCAUGAGGCAGGCCAAGACAAGACUUUAUUCCUCAGUUCUGUCACAUCAGCCUCUUUCAUUAGCACCACACUAUCCAAUACUGCCUUUUUCCUAAAAAUCAAAUAUCCAAACACCAUCUAAAACCUGUCCUACCCAAACCUGUUCCUUUUACUAAUCAUCUACAGAUAUAAAUAUGUUGUGACUGACUGUUGGAAAUAAAUGCAGCAGAAAUGUCUGUGUGUUUGCAGAAUGCAGGGUGUGAGAAAUUGAAAAGAACAGUGGGACUUUCAGAGCUUGGGAAAAAAACCAACAAAACAUGACAGCAUUUCCAGUAAUGUGUCCUCAGGAAAAAAGCUUUCCUCAUAGUGCUUAUGCACAGUUUUCAACUUGUCUCCCAGUAAUGUGCUAAACACAGCACAAAUCUGUAGGAGUUUUCUGGGCAGAUUUCCCCUCUCACAUUCUCAUCCUGGGGAAAUGUACUUUUGAAAUGUCAGCAUAAUAAAUGAAAACAUAAAAACAUUGAGCACUAAUGAGUAGGGAGUUCCAGACGAGAAGUAACUCUCAAAUCUUUCCUGGAGAUGCUGACAGUUUUGAUAAGGUGCUAUCAAUUUUGGUCCAAGGCCCAGUCUUUCCCUGCUUAGGGGUCAGUGCUGGUCAGAAUCAAUUUUAAUUCACUCUCUUUUCUCCCCAUUUCCAUCUGCCCUGAAGAGGAGCAGAACAUGAAACACAGAACGUUAUCCAGAACCAUGAGCCUCAGGUGAACAGUCAAAUACAGAGGUGGGAACCACAGAAAUUUGGCAGAACCUUGCUGCCUCACAGAAACUAGAGGAAUAGAAUAUCCUCACAGGGUCUAGCUCAGCAAUGCACUGACAUACUGUCCAUCACAUACAUACGUGGGAAUAAGUUCUCUCACCUCACAAUUUCUCAGAAAUACAUCAGAGAUACAUUCAAAAUGCUUUACUUUUUAUACUUCAAUCCCCAAAGUAGCAUGAUUUGUUUCCAGCGGUGUACAUCGUCUUGCCCUCAAAGUGACAGGGUGUCAAGAUUUUACUUGAGGAAAAAUAUAAAGGCAAAGACUACUAGAAACUCCAGGCUUCCAGGGAAUAAAACUAAGUAGAAUUGUAUCUCUGAGGUUGUCAAUAAAACAGUUUUGAGUUUGUGAUUCCUCCAGAUCCCUGUGGCACAUGUAUCUGCUACUCCAAGCAGCUUUGCCAAUUUUCUAGAAGGAAGGUAGCGCCAGAAAAGGCAGCUAGAGUGAAGGGAUCAGCAGUCCUAAGAUGCCAGAUACAGCAGUGAUCCAAAGGCACAGCACAGAGCAAUGGCAACGAACUUGGCAAAAGCUAUCUUCCUUAGGCUAAGGUGAGGCUUGUCAGAGGCAAAAACUCAUGAUAAGAAGACAAAACAAUGACAGCCUGAGAGAUUAGGUUUUCUAACAUGGCUAUAAAAGGAAGAAGGAAAAGAAAGGCAGGAAGAAGAGCCUAAACAUACUGAGAAUUAAAUCCAUUCAGAAGGAUCCUAAAACUUUGGAGAGUCUGGUACCUUUCAUUGAUUAUAUACAGUUUGUGUUCAUGAUGUCUAGCACAGAUCAAUCCUGAUAUGAGAAGCUAUCCUAAUAGCUUCUCCAGCUGGGAAGCUAUUACAAAAAUAGCACAUUGACAAAAUACCACAAGAUGGGCCUGUGCGAGUUAUUUUGUCGUUGUUGAUUCCCUAAAGCAUUAGAGUAAAUCCACUUCAGUUUGUGGGUACCCUGAGGUCAGGGACAUUUUUUGAACUUCACUUCCCAUCAUUUCUACUCUGCAUAUGAAUUGCCAUCUUCAGGGAUGAAAUGUCUACGUGCAAAUACAUAUGUGCAUCUACAGAAUCAUUUUGUCUGCCACUGGUAGCAUCAUGCUUUCCUGCUCUCUCCACACCUUUUGGGCUAAGUGAAAUCUGUGUCACAGUAGAACAGUUAUUCUGGGAAAAAAACCCAGAGUUCCAAUGGUGCAAAUUUUUUACUUAUAAACUGUAACUAUCAUUGCAGAUCCUUUUAGCAUGACAGUGGCAUCUCCCAGUGAAAAUUCAGUUGUACAAUUCAUGGACAAGGGGUCACUUUUGUUGAAUUUGGGAAUCCAGCCAUCUCCACUAGAUGUUUUUUGUUUUUUUUCUCAUCAGUUUUUUAUUUGUAAAAAAAUUAAGUUCUCCUAAGUGAAAAUGCCUAAUCUUCCAUGCAGUUGUAGAACAACUACAGAGUUCAAGGUGGUUUCCAUUAUAGGCCAGAAAUGUUCAUCUGAUGUCACAGUAAGGUAAACAACAUCUGAACAUCAUCUCCUGGGUUCUGGGAACAGUUACCUAGCACUUGCAGACUAUCUCAAUUCUUCAGCAGUAAUUUAUACAGAACCAGAUUCUUAGGAUUCCACACAAAACUUUCAGGGUUUCUUUAAAUUACAGCUUCAGCUUUUGUUCUGCUUCAGACUGGCUUUUGUUUGUUUAGGAUGCUCUGAAUGACAGAAUCCUAGAACCACACUGGAAUCUGUUUACAUCACUUCAGCAUCUGCUGACAUUUUCUAUAACCCAAAUAAUACAGCAACUACAAUCCCCACCACAUGGGGCACCACAUCUGCCCUGAAUCAGAGCCACUGUAACCAUACUCAGCUGCUCACUCUCCCUGAAUCCCCAGUUCCAACACCCUCUAGCGGCAACACUGCUAGAUCUAAGCUUACAGAUCUAAGCUGUGGAGAUGCAAGAGCAGCAGAAGAGCCAAGAAAAUUCAGAAAAUUAUUGCUUAUAGUAAGAAACAAGAAAGAUUUCAAUAGUAGUGUCAUGCUUUUAACAAAGCCAGAUAAUAAAUACAAAGGGAUCACGACGGGGAGCUUACUUGACCACUGGAGUAUACAGGCAGUGCAGUCGGCAGUACAGUCUCACCCCCUGAAGAAUGGAAGAUGCAGAGUGUUAAAGCUUUUUCCUUUUCAAAGAAACACUGACUAGCUAAUGCUAACAAAACCUGGACACUGAUGUCUCUCCUCAGCUGGAAUUUUUUAUUUAUUUAUUAAGAUUGAUAUUCAAAACAGUUCCUUUAGCCUCUCUGUCAAACAUUUUUUCUUCCUUCCUGGCUUCCAACAGCCAGAAAUCUCUUUUCACUUCUAAUCACCUCCAUUCCAACAUUUUCUCCAUUAAUCCUUCUUCACAAUUAACCCAUUAACCAAUGUCCAUAAGAAAAAAAUCAAAUUUAUUAAAAGGUAUGUGGACAAAUAUGGGAUCAACAGAACUCAUUUUACUAACACUUAUUAGGAACAGUUAAAUAUUGAUCUCUUCUGUCCCUCUAAACCAUAAUGCCCAGAUUUGCAGGAGACAGGUUACCACCGACUGUUUUAAAACCUUUUGUUACUCUACUGGGAUUGCAAUCAGCAGUCUCGGGUGCAGUCACAACUGUAUUGGUGUUCAUUGCAAACUAUGCUUCCUCUCCCUAAUGUGAAUAUCUCCUGUGGCAUUAGGAUGGAUAGCUCAAUACAACACAGAUCAACAGCAAUGGCAAUCUCCCACACAGUAGGUCAACAACAUUCAGAGGGAGAGCAAACUUCUUGAUGCAAAUCACAAGGUUCCAGCUAAGAAUGGUAACACAAACCUUGGA